GAUCAAUCCAUCUCUCUGUCAUUUGGCAGAUGUGGUAUAUAUCUGAAGUUACAGCUGGCAGUCUGUAAUUAACCGACAGUUCUUAGGAACCGAUACACUUUAUUCAGUAUAAAGGAGAAAUCACACCAUAAGCAUGCAUAAAUAUAAUGCAUAUGCCUGUGUGCAUGCACGAGAUAUGUGUGCCUACACACAAAUACUUUUUUUCCACCAGCGGCCUACGAUUUGCUUGGGAAAAUGUGUGAAGCAUCUGAAAAGGCGACAGACGGUGACAUUCACUGAUGCUUGCUGAACAUCUGUGGAGACCUAACAGUGGAAGUGAGCACCAUGAGGUGAUGAGUGGUGUGUUUCAGCAGUGGUGACAGCAACAGUGAAUUACCUCAGCUGAUGCAUGGAUUUACCAUGGGCCUAAUCAACAUGAUAGCCUCCUGUGUGGUGUAACAUUAAUCUGUGCCCUUGGGAAAAAGCUGGAGCUCUCUUCUCAGCAUGUGGCAGUGGACCAACCUGUGACAUGGGGUGACAGUGAUACCCGUGCCUUGCUGGCAGCCCCAUUUCUAUUGGUGUCAUCACCCAGCCAUUCUCAGGCAGUCAUCGGCUAUGUCUGAUGCUUCCCUAUCCCUGGCAUGCUCUGAAGACAGUUAAAAUACAAUCCAGCCCCAGGCCCUGUGGUGCUGGAGUUGAUGUUCUGCCAAGCAGAGGACCACUGACUGUGCCAGACAGAGAGGGUGGUUGUCCUUGGCAGCAGAACUGCACAAGUGCUUUUGAGCAUGGAGAAUGAAUGAAGAAAUGAGAAGAAUCUUCAAUUCUCUGUUUGGUGAUCACAGAUAAGGUCCAGGUGGAAAAUAUCUCCUCUGCUCAAGAAUAUAAUCCAGCAAGUUACCAGGCCAAAUGGCUCUCUGAACACGAGCCCACAAAGCGCUGAAUGAGGAAGUGCACUGCUCCAGGAGAUUUCAGCACAGCCAGCCAGAAGGUGGCUUUAGCAGUGGUGCUAGAAACAAAAAAAUGGCUUGAAACGGUCACGUGCUGGCUGGCUGGCAGCUGGGUCCAAGGAUUGAAGGUAAAAGACACAGAGGUGGAAAUGAAACACAAGGUCAUUUAAUUUACAAUCCUUCAUUUUGCUCAGCAACUUUUUGACUAGUAUCAUUUUAACACUAUUGAUGAUCUCAACUGAUUAUUUCCUGUAGAGAGUGUUCACAGCCUAAUAUUAAUUGCACAACACUGUAAAAUUUCCAAAAAAUUUGAAGGGGUUAAAACAAAAUGGUACUGCAGCUUUCUGCUAUUAGAUAUCUGCUAAUGGGAGCACAUGAUGAAGGUUAGAGUAAAUUAAUUGCUUGAUUAUACAACCCUUGGAUCUUGCGUUCAUAGGCUAAGUAACAAAUCAGUGUUUCUGUAUAUUUUUAUUCUAAUUACAUAAUGAUAUAGUAGAGUGUAGGGACAGUCAUCCCAAUGGUAAUUUUUAAUUGUGGAAGUUCAGAGACUUCUGGGUAGGUUGGAACAGUAGCUGAACCUGCUGCUCUGUUUUUGGUUUUGCUCACACUGAAAUGUAGGAAAGCCUCUUAGUGGGAUGCAUGCAUGCAUGUCUAGGAAUACUGGCACUGCUUGGUUUCACUAAUUUUUUUUUUUUUAAUAGACAAAGUGGAUUUUCUGCCCAACUUAGAAACAUAAAUCUGCCAAGAUGUAUAACAAAGACUAAGUCAUGGACAAAGCAGCCAGAGGAAACUCUGAAACUGUCUGAUAGCACUGGGGUAACAGAACGUCACACUAAGCUGCAACACCUCAUCCGCCAGCAAGCUCCUUUGGACUGUAGCUGCCCUAUAACGUUUCUCACAUAUGCAUGGAACUAUGAAAUUCAGUGUUCCAGCACAACAUUAGUUAGAUUUAGCUUUGGUGCUUGGCUGCUGGUUACUGCUGAAAAAACAGAGGUUUGCUUUGCUAAAGCAUCCAAAAUGAAAUUUGCUUGCUGUUGCUGCACUAAGUUGCCAUCCAGCAUGCACUGAAGAAAAAAAUCCUGGUUAUUUUCCCAUGGCUCCCUUAGCCAUACAAGUGCUAGGUGGGAAUGCACCUUCCUUGUGAAAAUGGACUGUGGAGAACAGAUCAGCUGGAUUCUCAGGUUGUUCUCCUGGGGCCUUGGCAGGCUGGGACUCAGAGCUGCAGGCAGCCUCCCUUCCACUCAACCUCUGCAGGGUGAGCAAAACAGUGCUUCUACCUCCAUGUAGCUCUGUUUUGUAUAUGUCCUCUGUUCACUGCAAACAUAUGAAAGACACAUGUUUUAUUGCAGAUUUUUUUGGCAUGCAGACAAAGUGCAAGGAGAGGGGCUAAUUAGGCUUCAGGGUGGCACCUCCCUCUAGCAUCAUAAAUAAAAGCUAUUUAACAAAAAAUAUAAUAGGAUGCCAGUAAAAAUGCUUGGAAAUAGAAUUACAAUAGCCAAACUUGUAUUUUGUAAGUUGUUUACCAUAAAUGAAAUAAAGUACAAAGGAAAUGGAAAAUGUGGUAACUGUACUGAAUGCCUUUAUAUAGUUUUCAGAUGCCUCUCGGAGUUAUAUUUUAUUUCCUCUCAAUAUGUUUAUAGACUCUGUGUGGAAGGUCAUACUAUUUUUCCCUAGAGUUUUUUUCCUUCUGUCUUGGCUAAACCUUCCUAGAAGAGUUUUGGAACUUGGCAGUGUAAGAAACUUAAGACAGAGAAGCAGACUUCCCUUCCUAGACAUAUGUCAAUUUGAAAAUAUGAAAAAAAAAAGUUGCAGUAAAUAUAAAUCAAACACCAUGUGAUCUGCAGCAAAGUAGAGGGUUUUACCUAUCAAUCAGCUCUGAAGAUCCCAAAUUUAGUGCAACUAUGUUGAAGAUCACCAUCCUAUCUGCAGUCUCUACGUAGCUCUUAUGAUGACUAAUAUACCUUUCUUAUCUAAAACUAUUAGAGAAUGCUUUUUGCAAGUUAGCACUGGCAGUCACAAGUGAGUGGACACCAUCAUUUUUAACUUAGGUAACAUUCCAACAAAGUAACUGUGUCAUAUCCUUGUGUCAAGAAGGCUCUAGAUCUGAGACUUACCAGGCUAAGGUACAAACAAGAACUGGC
ensembl:lncRNA